UACGAAGGGAGCUAGCGUUGUUCGGAAUCACUGGGCGUAAAGGGUGCGUAGGCGGGUUUUUAAGUCAGAGGUGAAAUCCUGGAGCUCAACUCCAGAACUGCCUUUGAUACUGAGAAUCUUGAGUAUGGGAGAGGUGAGUGGAACUGCGAGUGUAGAGGUGAAAUUCGUAGAUAUUCGCAAGAACACCAGUGGCGAAGGCGGUUCUCUGGGCCUUACCUGACGCUGAGGAGCGAAAGCGUGGGGAGCAAACAGG
rnacentral:rRNA from 1 species